rnacentral:lncRNA from 1 species
GAGAGGCAGAGAGGAAAUAGCAAGCAGCACACGAUUGUUUCCAAGCGAGAGGGUUCCUGGUAGAGAGCCAGGGCACGUCUUUUUAUUUUCCCUUGAACUAGAGAAUUUGCCUGAAGUAUGGAUGAGUCACAGAUACCAUAUUUCCUCUUCUCUGAAGCACAUUUACAUUUUUGAAGAAUUACAACUGACAAUGAUCAGCCAUACUUCCAAAAUAUCCUUUCAGGGAGGAGAAAGGAGGAACAGUGAUGCUGAAAUCAGCCCAAAAGGAGUUAUCAGCAACCAGUCAUGGGUCCCAAUGCCAGUGAUAGUUUUUUCCCCAGGACUUAGCAACAUAAAGCACAAUCUCUAUCCUCUGUUCAAGAGCCAGGAAUAGUGGAAAUGCAAAUGAGCACCAGCAAUCAGCUGUCCAACCACCUCUGACCAUAAGCUUGUUCAAAGUGGCACAUAGUUGAAAAGCAGCAGGCAGUGUCUUAUCUACGCUACAUUUUCUUCUUGACAAUACUGGAGUUAUAAUGUAGGCAGUUUGAAGAAGUUAAAAUCAAAACAGAAAAGGGAAAUCAGUUUUUCUCCUGGGAUUUAAACCAAGAGGAUCUACUACUGCCAAUUACUGUUGUCAUGCCAGAGUAGCUUGAUGUAAACCAGUGGGGUAACA